rnacentral:rRNA from 1 species
UACGUAGGGUGCAAGCGUUAAUCGGAAUUACUGGGCGUAAAGCGUGCGCAGGCGGUUAUGUAAGACAGAUGUGAAAUGCCCGGGCUUAACCUGGGAACUGCAUUUGUGACUGCAUGGCUAGAGUUUGGCAGAGGGGGUAGAAUUCCACGUGUAGCAGUGAAAUGCGUAGAUAUGUGGAGGAACACCGAUGGCGAAGGCAGCCCCCUGGGUCAAGACUGACGCUCAUGCACGAAAGCGUGGGAGCGGAACA